ensembl:Y_RNA Y_RNA Y RNA
GGCUGGUCCCAGUGCAGUGAUGUUUACAACUAAUUGAACACAACCAGUAACAGAUUUCUUUGUUCCUUCUCCACUCUCACCGCUUCACUUGACUAGCCUUUU